UUAUUUUGUUCCAAUCAAAUCAAGUCACGUACGCGGGAGCACGGAUGGGAGCACACGCACGGAGCAGGCAAGUCUCGUCCAACAGAUUCCACCCCUCCACCGAUCUUGCCCCAGCGAGGCAUCGACGUGCCGUGGAGGGAUCCCUAGCGCCGCUCCUCCUCCUCUCCAGUUUCCAUACUGGGAUUCCUUCUAAUAAAGAUCCAAGCAGUAUCUCCUUGAUGCCCUUCCUCUCCAGCCCUUGAAUCGCCUCUGCCCCAAAGGUACGCUAUGAUAUCCAAGUGAUUGGAAAUCUGAAUCAAUCCUUCCUCUCUGGUUCUCCCUAAUAUCUUUGUUUGUAACCUUUGAAUCUCCUUAGCUUUCAUGUCCUGAGUACGCUGCAAUCAUGCAUCUAUUUUUGAUCUUACAAGAAUAUAUCCCGUGAUGAAUAUUGUUUGAUGGGAGAGCCAUACCGAUGGUAGUUUGAAUUAAUUUAGUUGGCCACCGCCAUGGACGAUACUGGGCAUUCCACAUGCCCUCGACGCAAGAUGCCCACCAGAAUGAACCCCAUGCUACAAUUAUAUUGCUUGAGGGUGGAAAAGCCUGAAAAGUUUAGGGAAGAUUCAAGGUACAGGUAGAUGUAUGUUGCCUAUGUAUAAUCCUAUAGUUUAUUUUAUUUGCAAAUUGUGCAUAGUAAUAAAUUUCUACAAGAAGAUGCAAAAUAAUUGAUCACAUAUAGCCUGCGUGCGAACAUACAUGUCCUAGAUCUGUUUAUAAUAAUUUCGUAUUACUGAGAUUUUAUCAUGCUAUUAAGUAGUACCCUAGCAGGAAACAUACUGUUGCUGCAAUUUUUCUUUUGGCAUGCAAGGGCUGAAGUCUGUUGAAUUCAGGUACUGUUGCUGCCAUUUUUCUUCAUCUAAUUUUCUCUACUAUUUUUCGAAAUGAUUCAAUGGAAUUUCAUUAUGUGGUUGCAACCGUGAUAGUAAACUGUCAUAAAAGUUGGGAAAGAAAUGACAUCACUGCUCACAUAACUCAGACUAAAUUAGCUUCUCAUGUUAUUUAAUAGAGUGAUUUUUAUCACAGUGAACACCACCAGCACUGCUUGGCCACUUCACCACCUGCCUCUAGCCGUUCAGUAACCUACAGGUCAUGCUUUGCAAAUUAUCAGCCUUCGUCGGCUGGUUAUUUGUUGUUUAUUUUGCUCACCAUUAUUUCCGUGUUAUUAAUUGGAGAAAGUAUGAUGUAUCGCUUAUCCAUACUGUUGGUGUAGCCCAGACAACGGUCUGUGAUGCAGGAUCCUUGGUUUUCGAGUGAUUGAUCUCCAUGUAAUUCAAAUUUAUGGUGGCAUAAUACGCAUUGAUAUUCACACAUUUCCUCAACUAAGUUUAUGAUUGUUUUCAGUCCCUACAAUAAUUUAUAGUGCAGGCCGCAGAUAUGGUUAGUGCAAUUCCAACUCCAUAGAGAACUUACUGUAAAUGACCGAUUCCGUGGCUUCCUUUUGUUACCUUUGCGAACUCAAUCCAGAGGUUUUGCUUUUUCUUCAGUCAUCCAUACCUCAAACCUGAUAGUGCUUACUAAUUUCGCAAAUAUCUGGUGCAUGUACAUCCCUUCACAUGAGACCUAUAAAUUACUUUCUUUUAGGAAAUACUCUAAUUGCAGAGAUUUAUUCUUUGUUAAUGGCUCGACUAAUUUGGAUUACUCUUAUAUUUAUUUUUUCUAUCGUGAAUUUUUCGCAGGUACGAGUAAAUAUUGGUUCUUUGACAUUGAUCCUUAAAUUUAAUAGUACUAAUUCAGAAGAUGGGUGCAUAACGAUAUCAUCGGAUUAAACAAGGUAUAUUGGUCUAUCAAAUAUACUACUGGUACAUAUCAAAAUGGUCUAUCAAAAUGUUUCUUCAGUCUAAUUCAGAGUGAUAAUCUCUGUGGUACGAGCCUACAAUUAUAUUUUGUUCUGCAGAUUGAGCGAAAGUUAGUGUCAUUUUACCAAAUUGAGUUUUCUAACAAAUUCCUUCUCUCACAAAUGGAAUUCAAGAAAACUAAUAAUUCUUUCCAUGUGUCCAAGUAAGUAACAUAAGCCUACAUACAUUGCAUCAGGAAAUUUCCUGAAUAUCUACUGAUAAAUAUUUUGACUGUAUUUCAUAGUAAUUAGAUACUUUAUGUGUUGUAUGCUAAGUUAGUAGACGAGACAUGGUACCUCAUCAUCAAUGAAUGCUAUUAUUCACCUAGGGAAACGUUCUUCAUCAAUGGCUAUCACAAUUGCUGGCAAUUUUCUUUAAUAUUUCCUUGUAAUUACUUAAAUAAAACCAUUUGACUUGAGUAAUCGAGGAAUGUCGUAAACAACUUGAAAAGUGUAGUACCAGUUACAAACAGAAUUUAUGAUAUUGGAUUGAUGACAGACCAUGCAUCAACGGGAUCCGGAAAGAUAUUUCUUACUGUAGUUAUCAUGACAGUAAUUUCUUCAGCUACCGUUUCUGUGAAAAACCAAGCAAGAGUUUUGCACCAUUGAUUUUAUAUGCAGAAAAGAAAUAACAAACUUGAUAAAAUUACUGUACUGUGAAGGACUACUCUUAUAUUCAGUUAGGUGAUCGUGGACUUCUCCAACACAUGUCAUAGGAAAUAUGCAGCUACUUAUGCAAGUUUGCUUUAUGAAGUUGAAAAUGCAGCAAUUCAGGAAUCACCUGAAUCAAUUCAGACCAUUGCCGCAGAUGUCCUUGAACUGCCUCUCCUUCCACCUGAAGAUGUUGCCACUCCUUCAAAGCACAAACUUUCAGACCAGAGCAUGCAGCAAUCCAACAGAAGAUUUCGCCACUCCUUAAACUGCCACCACACACACCGAAUCGUCGGCCUUGAGCGAAGCCUGCUUGUUCCUCACAUCAAACGCCUGUAGAAAUCCAAGAAGAUGAAGAAAUUGGGUGGACAUGGCCCGACCAAUCUAAGAAGAUAAAGAAGAAAUUGCAAUGGGCGCAGUAGAUCGAAGGGAGGAGAAGUGGAAAAAGGAGACCUUUGACUCCGGCGGGCUCCUGGAUCAUAAACUACUUUUUCAUUCGGGUAUGGACGUGGGUGGUAUCAUUUUCACAGGAGCAGCGUCUGGACAUGCAUCAAUAGGUGCUAAACUCACAUGCUACUACAAUGGACGGCUCUACAACAUUUUAUUUUAGAUGUACAACAAUAGAAGGGAAAUGUGCAUGCAGACGAUCAUGUGUUUGACGAUCAUACUUCUAAGUCCUUACUAUAACAACAAGAAGUUAAUCAGCAUGAUGUACUUAUGUUGUUGUGAUCAAACAUGUUGUCAUGCUUUAAAUGCCAUGGUAAUUUUCAUUGCAACGUCCACUUUACUCUA